rnacentral:lncRNA from 1 species
CGACACGCCAGCGGCAUCGGGACAGAGUCCUAUAAGUAGACCCGUGACUGUGAUUGGACGAAGAGUAGCUGUGCCAAAAUCUCCAAGGAUGAUUUAGACAUCGCUGGAAGAGCCAGUCUGAGUGUCGUCCGCGGAAUCGAAGACACCGAGAGAGCUUUGCUGAACGACGGUUUUUUCGCAAAGCGGCAUACGACCGCGUCCCUGCAUGCUGCCUUCUUCGGUUCCAAGCCAAUCGUCCAGUCUCUCGGCAGGGACGGUCUCAUCGGCUUGGAAGCCACGCGGGAGCUCGCUCGCAGGUACGU